UAAGGAAUAUUGGUCAAUGGACGCAAGUCUGAACCAGCCAUGCCGCGUGAAGGAUUAAGGUCCUCUGGAUUGUAAAACUUCUUUUAUCUGGGACGAAAAAAGGCGAUUCUUCGUCACUUGACGGUACCAGAUGAAUAAGCACCGGCUAACUCCGUGCCAGCAGCCGCGGUAAUACGGAGGGUGCAAGCGUUAUCCGGAUUCACUGGGUUUAAAGGGUGCGUAGGCGGGCAGGUAAGUCAGUGGUGAAAAUCCUGGAGCUUAACUCCAGAACUGCCAUUGAUACUAUCUGUCUUGAAUAUUGUGGAGGUAAGCGGAAUAUGUCAUGUAGCGGUGAAAUGCUUAGAUAUGACAUAGAACACCUAUUGCGAAGGCAGCUUACUACGCAUAUAUUGACGCUGAGGCACGAAAGCGUGGGGAUCAAACAGGAUUAGAUACCCUGGUAGUCCACGCCCUAAACGAUGGAUACUCGACAUACGCGAUACACUGUGUGUGUCUGAGCGAAAGCAUUAAGUAUCCCCACCUGGGGAAGUACGACCGCAAGGUUGAAACUUAAAUGAAUUGACGGGGUCAUAGCUGUUUCCUG
rnacentral:rRNA from 1 species